CACAAGAAGGUGGCGGUAGGGGGUGGAAUGCGUAGGGUCCGGGGGGUUUGCUGAAUUGUUGGGCGUGAAGGUGUGGGGUGCGGUUGGUCGCGGCUGUAGGGAAAACGUCGGGCGUAACUCGGAGCUUGCUUUCGAUACGGGCAGACUUGAGGGAUUCAGGGGAGAACGGAAUUCCGGGUGUAGCGGUGAAAUGCGCAGAUAUCAGGAGGAACACCGGUGGCGAAGGCGGUUCUCUGGGAAUGGUCUGACGCUGAGGAGCGAAAGUGUGGGGAGCGAACAGGAUUAGAUACCCCAGUAGUC
rnacentral:rRNA from 1 species